CCUACGGGUGGCAGCAGUGAGGAAUAUUGGUCAAUGGCCGGGAGGCUGAACCAGCCAAGUCGCGUGAGGGAAGACGGCCCUACGGGUUGUAAACCUCUUUUGUCAGGGAGCAAGGUGCGGGUCGGGACCUGCCGCGAGAGUAACCGAAGAAAAAGCCACGGCUAACUCCGGGCCAACAGCCGCGGUAAGACGGAGGAUGCGAGCGUUAACCGGAUUUAUUGGGUUUAAAGGGUGCGCAGGCGGAGGCAUAAGUCAGUGGUAAAAUCGAGGGGCUCAACCCCCCUCCGCCGUUGAAACUGUGUCCCUUGAGUGCGCGAAGGGUAGGCGGAAUGCGUGGUGUAGCGGUGAAAUGCAUAGAUAUCACGCAGAACUCCGAUCGCGAAGGCAGCCUACCGGCGCGCAACUGACGCUCAUGCACGAAAGCGUGGGUAUCGAACAGGAUUAGAUACCCGAGUAGUC
rnacentral:rRNA from 1 species